rnacentral:rRNA from 1 species
UACAGAGGUCUCAAGCGUUGUUCGGAUUCAUUGGGCGUAAAGGGUGUGUAGGUGGCGCGCUAAGUCGGGUGUGAAAUUUCGGAGCUUAACUCCGAAACUGCAUUCGAUACUGGCGUGCUUGAGGACUGGAGAGGAGACUGGAAUUCAUGGUGUAGCAGUGAAAUGCGUAGAGAUCAGGAAGAACACCGGUGGCGAAAGCGUUCUGCUAGACCUGUACUGACACUGAGGGACGAAAGCUAGGGGAGCGAAUGGG